AACGAACGCUGGCGGCAUGCCUAACACAUGCAAGUCGAACGAGAUCUUCGGGUCUAGUGGCGCACGGGUGCGUAACGCGUGGGAAUCUGCCCUUUGGUUCGGAAUAACAGUUGGAAACGACUGCUAAUACCGGAUGAUGACGAAAGUCCAAAGAUUUAUCGCCAGAGGAUGAGCCCGCGUAGGAUUAGCUAGUUGGUGUGGUAAAGGCGCACCAAGGCGACGAUCCUUAGCUGGUCUGAGAGGAUGAUCAGCCACACUGGGACUGAGACACGGCCCAGACUCCUACGGGAGGCAGCAGUGGGGAAUAUUGGACAAUGGGCGAAAACCUGAUCCAGCAAUGCCGCGAGAGUGAUGAAGGCCUUAGGGUUGUAAAGCUCUUUUACCCGGGAUGAUAAUGACAGUACCGGGAGAAUAAGCUCCGGCUAACUCCGUGCCAGCAGCAGCCGCAG
rnacentral:rRNA from 1 species